rnacentral:pre_miRNA from 1 species
GAGUGUCAUGUCAUUACGUCUUAUCAUGGAUACUUUAUUGCCACGUUAUUACCUUCAUUUAUGUGACACUGACGUGUUAAUGAUUAAACGUGAUGACGUGACACUCCAU